GAGGAAUAUUGGUCAAUGGACGGAAGUCUGAACCAGCCAAGUAGCGUGCAGGAUGACGGCCCUAUGGGUUGUAAACUGCUUUUGUAUGGGGAUAAAGUUAGGGACGUGUCCCUAUUUGCAGGUACCAUACGAAUAAGGACCGGCUAAUUCCGUGCCAGCAGCCGCGGUAAUACGGAAGGUCCAGGCGUUAUCCGGAUUUAUUGGGUUUAAAGGGAGUGUAGGCUGGAGAUUAAGUGUGUUGUGAAAUGUAGACGCUCAACGUCUGAAUUGCAGCGCAUACUGGUUUCCUUGAGUACGCACAACGUUGGCGGAAUUCGUCGUGUAGCGGUGAAAUGCUUAGAUAUGACGAAGAACUCCGAUUGCGAAGGCAGCUGACGGGAGCGCAACUGACGCUUAAGCUCGAAGGUGCGGGUAUCAAACAGGAUUAGAUACCCUGGUAGUCCGCACAGUAAACGAUGGAUGCCCGCUGUUGGUACCUGGUAUCAGCGGCUAAGCGAAAGCAUUAAGCAUCCCACCUGGGGAGUACGCCGGCAACGGUG
rnacentral:rRNA from 1 species